rnacentral:rRNA from 1 species
GAUGAACGCUGGCGGCGUGCCUAAUACAUGCAAGUCGAGCGAAGCGGGGACGGGUGAGUAACACGUGGAAAACCUCCUAUAAGACUGGGAUAACUUCGGGAAACCGGACCUAACCCGGAUACUUAUAGGUGGAGCCGGGCUGCAUUAGCUAGUUGGUAAGGUAACGGCUUACCAAGGCAACGAUGCAUAGCCGACCUGAGAGGGUGAUCAGCCACACUGGAACUGAGACACGGUCCAGACUCCUACGGGAGGCAGCAGUGGGGAAUCUUCCACAAUGGGCGAAAGCCUGACGGAGCAACGCCGCGUGUGUGAUGAAGGUCUUCGGAUCGUAAAGCACUGUUAUUGGGGAAGCGGUACCUGAUCAGAAAGCCACGGCUAACUACGUGCCAGCAGCCGCGGUAAUUC